UGUUACUGUGCAUUCCGUAAAUUCUCUUA
rnacentral:piRNA from 1 species